UCGCUGCAACUUUGUAGUCUGUGCUGAGGAGCGAGACGGGAUGCCAGUUCCGUAGGUCGCGGAGGUCCCCCCUCUUUAGCAACAAGAGAGAGGACCCCGCUUUCCAAGGACUCGACCCAGACGGUAACGAGGUCUGGGCCGCGGACACCCCAGAACACGCAGUAGAACUCCACGGUCAGCCCGUCCAUGCCUGGGGUUUUAUUGUUGGGCAUUGUGGGUGCUCCGCUACCCCCCUCCUCCCUGCUUUGGAGUCUUUGUUUUCCUUGUGUCUUCCAGAUUCCUAGGCAGCUUCAAGGAACUGGCAGGAGCCGGACUGCGCCACCUCACAAAAGCAUGUCAACGCCGCGAGACACCGCCACGCAUGCACAGUCCAGCCAAAUACUGCUACAGCAAAAAUCUCCAUUCUUCAGCCUCAGAAAAAAUGAAUUGUCAGAUUACAAAACACGUCCUUAGGUGCCAAUGACAUUGGAUGACAGAGAGGAGCCCUGCCGUGUAAGAGGACGUUGCGCACCUGUUGUGAACAUUGCAGCUCUGCGCCUGUGAACCAUCGAGACUAAUAGCUGCACUUCCAGAAUUGCCAGGACUUGCUACCCACAGCCUAAAUGAAAGGCUUUGAGGAGAAAUGCUGGGGAGGUCCACAAUGUUCUGGUUCAGGGCUACCUCCAAAGAGGAUUUGCAGAUGGAUAGAACUAUGACUAGACGUGCCCAGAGCUACAGAACAUUGUCAAGACAGGAACAAUCUCACCAAACAGGGAUUCCACAGAGCAGAAAAUAGCCAUCAUACUAGUAACAGUCCAACUUAAACAGCUUCUAUUCAGGGUGAAAGCCAUGGCAGAAGUGAUGCCUACCUCUACAGCAACUGCAGUGUGCUAAAGUACUCUAAGAAAUCAGAUUGAAUAUAUCCCUAGUUUAAUGGAUACGGUAGAUAAUUAGCUACAGACAUCACAUGCAGUUGCCACAACUGUAUGUUCCUAGCCCCAUGACUCUGAAAAUGCAUCCUUUGCCUAGUAGGAUUGUUUAUACUGCCAGGUGGAUGUCUGAAAGGCUGCAGCCUUUCUGGCUGUGCUACCCACUGGCAUUAGAUCCCCACUUCGUUGGCCCCACACAAGCCUGCCUCUGUCUGAUUUAUCUGUGACCUAAUCCUCUGACCCAGCCACGCACCAAUCCAGUCUCCGUGGUAACAAAGGUCCAAGUGUAAAUAACUAAAUUCCUUUGCCCCUUUUGGGCUGUGCUGACGUCUAAAUCUUUUGCCCUGUUAAGACACAGUUGGCAAAAUCAAAACGGAGUCAGGGUUUUAGAAAUGGAAUUCAAAAUGGAACCUGUCAUGAGUGACAGUGACUUGAACACCAAAACCACCUUUGCACAUAGCACCUCACGACACCAGUUGUGUGCACACAGCUCAGAAACCUGCACAAGGCACAUCAACUUUGCACAUAUCACCCUACUUUUGUGCACUCGGGACAUACACUGAUUCCUGAGAGGAUCGGGUUGGCAGUUCUUCAUCACAACAUGGAGGGGAGUCACUUGCUGUACCUAGGAGCUGCGGCGAAGGCCGGGACCAUCUCAAAUUACAGACAGACCUCAUCCCACUGUCACCAUCAGGGUGCUCGGACCCACCGUUGCGGCAACACAGUGAGUCUAUACUACCUGUGCCCCAUAUCAAUGGACAUUGACCUGCGUUCUGUGGUGAAGGCCCUCUGCAGCGCUGGAACAGCUUCACAAAAAGCUGCUCGGUGAUCUCAGCUUUCUGAUCCUUCGCGAAGUCAAGGAUCAAGCAAAGACUGAACUGUCCGUUUACCUUGCCAACUCACCUGCUCUGACAUCGCAGAGAUUUAUACGCCUAAGGACUCCUCCAAGUUCCUCCCCUUCGGCUGUCUGUAGCCACAGGGUAGAAGGUCCUGAGGACCUCGGCCUGAGGACAGUACUCCACUGUUAGCCUGUGGUUAUCUGUGCUAUCUCCUGCCAUAUCAGAGGAGAGCGGUUGAGUUGUGCAGCAUUGAUUCAUUGUUACUAACUGUAGUGUUUUACCUGUUGUGUUUUACGAUAUAUUUUGUUACAUUUGAAAGUGAGUCUGUUUAUUGGAAUCCGUCAAAUCCGCUGGUGAUCAGAUACGGCAGGUUCCAGGGCGAACGCUCUUCUGGGGCAAAGGCAUUCUACCCCGUCUCAGAUCAGGCCCUAUGUUACUGAAUUCUGUUUGGGAUAGUGUGCCUUUGCUAACAGCCCCUGCCUCCUCAGCAGGAUUCCCCAUUGCCCCCCUUCCCCGGGAGCACCCGCAGUGUAACUCCGGUGCUUCUUUCCACAGCCUAUCUCAGGGCUCCCCUCGGGAAUCUAAUCAGUUCCGCUCCUCAUUAUGAGUGUCUCCGUGCCUGAGUUCACAGCUCCGUUUAAACAGUCCACUGGGGUCAGCCAGCAUUCAGCUGGGAUUAUGAAUUCUCAGUGAAGCUAAGUCUGCGAUGCAAUGAAACAUCCCUGGCUGGCGGGGACUUGACUAUUGGGCUUUCCCAAGAGUGUAGUAGUUUGGGCACAGAGUGGCGACUUUGGUCCCCACUGCCCAGUCUCCAGACCACAGCUGAAAGUCUGCCUCAUCCCCACAGCCCUGUAGCCCAAGCCCCAGAAGCCUGAGUCAGCUGACAUGGGCCACCCAAGGGUGUUUGACUGCAGUGUAGAUGUAGCUUGACUGAUGAGCUAGCAACAUAGGGUAAAGGGUAGCAGCUAGGAUGAGCUCUGCUUGCCUUAAAAGACGAGCUAGCUUGUGGCAAUGUCUCAGAGCUACCUUAUCCUUUGUAAAACUGAGGUCUUGUGGGGUCCCUGCUAGUUGGAAGGGAUGUAUUCCAAAUCCGACAGCCAGUUUAGGAGUUUGGCUCUUCUAGAGAUACCUUGGGCCAUGAUACAAAUAUUUUUUCAGUGGCCCUAAUGUCAGGUCAUGUUUUCUUUGAGGCAUUAGCAGUCUGAGGAAUAGCAGUCUCAAAGAUAUAGCACCUAGGCCUGUUACCUCAAAGGUAUCAAGUUGCUUAACAUCCACUGAAGUCAAGAUGAAUUGGGUAUCUGAUUAUGUUGAGGCUCUGGGCCUUGGAUAUGGCAACAACAGGCACUAUAGAAAAACCUAAGAUAGAUAAUAAAUCUAAAAACCAAUAUUGCCAUGCGUUGGGUCUCAGAAAUCCAGAGAGGCCGCAGAAUGUAUUUAUGUAAACGUAUCAGCCCUUGAUUAUUACAUAAGUAGCAUUUUGUAUUAACAGUCUGGGUUUUUUUCUCUUGUUAACUCAAUUCCUCCAUUGGUACAAUUGGAUUUCUUUACAACGUUUCUAACUUAAUUUGAGCUGAGUACAUAGAAUUAUAGACCACCAUGGAAUAAGACUACAGCCGGUCCCCAAUUUACGAAAGAGUUAUGUACUGAAUACUAGGUCGUAACUCAAUCUCUUUGUAAGUCAGAUUACAUUCACUUAUGUACAGCCACGGUGUUCUUAAGUGUAGAUUUUGUUCAUAACUCGGGGACCGUCUCUAUAGGGGUUGGUCGUAAAUAUGAAUGGUCAUAAGUUGAUGCGUUCGUAACUUGGGGACCGGCUGUAUUAUAAAUGUGCUAAUAAAUAUGAGGUCUGCACAUUACAUUAAACAGUCUCAGAGGAAUUCUGCCAGACUUUUGCUUCACACAUAAGAAAUUCUGACUAAGUUUACGCAAACACUAGUAGGGUUUCCCAUAUAUGUAAUAUAAAAUAAUAAUAUUAAUGUAAGUGGUUCCCAGUUAUGGAAUUGAGGUGUGUUGAUUCACUACCCAAUACAGAAUAUUAUUUGUUUCUAAUGUCUAAUAAUUUAACAAGCUCAUUAAUUUCCUGACCCUAUAAAUAUUUGAACAAUGCUAAGUACAAAUUACCUUCUGUUCAC